CGAGGUAAGUAAGACGUUUUUAGUAAUGUCAUUGUUUAAGCGUUAUUUUUUAUAUCCCGAAGAUAUUCACCUGUGUUAGGAGCUAUUUUAUUUUCUACUCCGGAGUAGGCGAAAGUAAUUUGUAGCUUGCAGUUUGCACUGCUACUGCUAGUUAGCCAUCUUUUACCAUUAGAAUAAUUUCGGUGAUUGUAAAAUGCUAGAAACAGCAAUGAAUAAGUGUUCUCACUUGAAUCCCUCUGAAUGUUUGUCAUUUCUUUACAGUCGGAUGUCGGUAUGGCUCCUGAAGAGGGGCCGGUCGCGGGGCCGGUCGAGUGUCCGAGGCCAUUGCUUCAGCUGUUUGGCAUCACUCGCCCUUUACUGCCUUGAUGCAGGUGUUUUGCGGGUCCACAUCACUCAACUUGGCAGGGCAAGGGAGCCAGCGCAAGACAACCGGGAGUACCGCUUUGCUACAUACUGAAGCUUUAUAUAUUGGAAACCGGUUGGUAAUUCCCAGCUGCUGUGUGUGGAGGAUUAGGGGUGGCCUGAUCCCUAUGCUCAGUAUACUGGAUAUAUUCCUGGCCACUAGCAAAACUUCUUUUACAUUUGGCUACAUGCACAAUUUGGGCAUCAAAUGCCAACAUCAACUUGUUUGUUUGAAGUGCUUUGUAUUCCGUUAGAAUUAUUUAAUGUUGCAUUUUUUUAAAUAAAUCUAAUUUAUUGAUGUAAAAGGUCUGAUCAAUUGUAUUUGCAUAUCCUCUGUUACGGCUCUGGCUGUGAUCCUGUUUCUGUGUAUCCUUUGUGUCCCCUCCCCCUCUGUCUGUCUGUGUGUGUGUCUCUGGAGGGUGUGGCUGCAAUCAACACCGGGUGACUACUCACACCUGCAGCUCAUCUGCUCAUCUGUCUCAAGCUAAAAGCCCUGGGCUCAACUCGACUCAUUGCCAGAUUAUUGAGUCUACUGAAGUGAUUCUCACCAGUGUCUUCUCCUCCAGUCUGCUCUCCUCUCAGACAACUCAACCAAUCACCCGCCUGCCUACAGAACCAGCUACUCCAUAGUCUCCUCCACGCCGUCAUUACCAGCCAGCCAGUCAGCCAUCCACCUUUCCCAAACCCUGCAAUAAAACCUCAAACCCUUCAA